rnacentral:rRNA from 1 species
AUUGAACGCUGGCGGCAUGCCUUACACAUGCAAGUCGAGCGGCAGCACGGGGGCAACCCUGGUGGCGAGUGGCGAACGGGUGAGUAAUACAUCGGAACGUGCCCGGUAGUGGGGGAUAGCUCGGCGAAAGCCGGAUUAAUACCGCAUACGACCCACGGGUGAAAGCGGGGGAUCGCAAGACCUCGCGCUAGCGGAGCGGCCGAUGUCAGAUUAGGUUGUUGGUGGGGUAAAGGCCACCAAGCCGACGAUCUGUAGCUGGUCUGAGAGGACGACCAGCCACACUGGGACUGAGACACGGCCCAGACUCCUACGGGAGGCAGCAGUGGGGAAUUUUGGACAAUGGGCGCAAGCCUGAUCCAGCCAUGCCGCGUGCGGGAAGAAGGCCU